rnacentral:rRNA from 1 species
UGAGUAGGCGGUUGCAUAUGUCAGAUGUAAAAGGCGCAGGCUUAACUUGUGUUAGCAUUUGAAACUGUGCGACUUGAGUGCAGGAGAGGUAAGUGGAAUUCCUAGUGUAGCGGUGAAAUGCGUAGAUAUUAGGAGGAACACCAGUGGCGAAGGCGACUUACUGGACUGUAACUGACGCUGAGUCACGAAAGCGUGGGUAGCAAACAG